AUUGAUAACCUGCCUUUGAGAUGGGAAUAACCGCGUUUCGAGCAAUCGGAACUACCGAAAGGGCUGCUAAUACCCAAUAAUACUAUAGGUGCAAAAGCACUUGUGGUCAAAUGCUAGGAAUUCUGUUCCUUGUGCUUAAAGAGGGGUUAAUGUCCUAUCAGCUAGUUGGUGGGGUAAUGGCCUACCAAGGCAAAGACGGGUAGCCGGCUUGAGAGGGUGGUCGGCCACACUGGGACUGAGACACUGCCCAGACUCCUACGGGAGGCUGCAGUCGAGAAUCUUUCGCAAUGCCCGAAAGGGUGACGAAGCGACGCCGCAUGUGGGAAGAAGGCCUUCGGGUUGUAAACCACUGUCGGGAGUUAGGAAAUGCAGGUGCGUUAAUAGCGCACUUGCUUGACUAAGGCUCCAGAGGAAGCCACGGCUAACUCUGUGCCAGCAGCCGCGGUAAUACAGAGGCGGCAAGCGUUGUUCGGAAUUAUUGGGCGUAAAGAGCACGUAGGCGGCCUUGCAAGUCAGUUGUGAAAGCCUUCCGCUUAACGGAAGAACGGCAUCUGAUACUACAGGGCUUGAGUACGGG
rnacentral:rRNA from 1 species